rnacentral:rRNA from 1 species
GACAGAGGUGCCAAGCGUUAGGCGGAAUCACUGGGCUUAAAGCGUGUGUAGGCGGGCGAUCAAGUACCUUGUUAAAUCCCACGGCUCACCCGUGGAACUGCUGGGCAUACUGGGCGUCUUGGGCCAACUAGGGGCAGCCGGAACAAGCGGUGGAGCGGUGAAAUGCGUAGAUAUCGGAAAGAACACCAACGGCGAAAGCACUCUGCUGGGCCGACACUGACACUGAGAGACGAAAGCUAGGGGAGCGAAUGGG